AGAUCCAAUAACAAAGAAAGGGUGGAAGUGAGCACGAGGUGAACAUGAGCUAACCGAGACAACGUAUAUACAUGAGCCCGGGUUUGUGUGGAUCUAGUUGCGGUCCGGGUUCAUCACUUAUGAUAUAUUCGGAUAUUGAGAAGGUAUCCGAUGUGAAUUGUUAUGUUCAUUCAGUAAGAGGAGUGGUGAUACACCUAUAGUCAUCAGUCAAUGGACAUUAGACUUUGUUCAUUAUUGCCAUAAAAGUACGAGGUGUGUAUAUUUUAGAUUCACUAUUUGUAAAGGGCGGCAAGAAUCCUAACCAAUAUCCUUGUCUUACAAGUGUGAUUGAAAGCACCUUACCCGCCAA